UGAGUACGAGAUGCUACGGCAUUGAAGCAGUCUAUGUCAUACUUCCAAGAAAAGCUUGCACUGUCAUAAACAAAGAAUGCCUGUACCAUAACCGACACAGGUGGUAGGUAGAGUAUACUAAGGGGCGCGAGAUAACUCUCUCUAAGGAACUCGGCAAAAUGACUCCGUAACUUCGGGAGAAGGAGUGCCUUAUUUUUAAGGUUGCAAUAACAAGAUCCAAGCAACUGUUUAUCAAAAACACAGGUCUCCGCUAAGUCGUAAGACGAUGUAUGGGGGCUGACGCCUGUCCAGUGCCAGAAGGCUAAAGAAGUUGGUUAGCAUUCGCGAAGCUGAUAACUGAAGCCCUGGUGAACGGCGGCCGUAACAAUAACGGUCCUAAGGUAGCGAAAUUCCUUGUCGGGUAAGUUCCGACCCGCACGAAAGGCGUAAUGAUUUGGAUACUGUCUCGGAGAGGGACUCGGUGAAAUAGACUUGUCUGUGAAGAUGCGGACUACCUGCACCUGGACAGAAAGACCCUAUGAAGCUUUACUGUAACUUGAAAUUGAAAUUGGACUUUAGUUGCGCAGGAUAGGUGGGAGGCGUUGAGAAUAUUCUUGCGGGAGUAUUGGAGCCAUCAGUGAGAUACCACUCUUCUAAUGUUAGAUUUCUAACUUUGUAUCAUUAUCUGGUCAAAGAACAGUUUCAGGCGGGCAGUUUGACUGGGGCGGUCGCCUCCUAAAGGGUAACGGAGGCGCACAAAGGUUUCCUCUGAACGAGUAGAAAUCGUAUCUAGAGUGUAAAGGCAUAAGGAAGCUUGACUGUGAGACCUACAAGUCGAGCAGGGACGAAAGUCGGUCUUAGUGAUCUGACGGUGCUGAGUGGAAAGGCCGUCACUCAACGGAUAAAAGUUACUCUAGGAUAACAGGCUGAUCUCCCCCAAGAGUUCACAUCGACGGGGAGGUUUGGCACCUCGAUGUCGGCUCAUCGCAUCCUGGGGCGGUAGUACGUCCCAAGGGUUGGGCUGUUCGCCCAUGAAAGCGGUACGCGAGCUGGGUUCAGAACGUCGUGAGACAGUUCGGUCCAUAUCCGGUGUAGGCGUUAGAAUAUUGAGAGGAGCCUUCUCUAGUACGAGAGGACCGAGAAGGACAUACCUCUAGUGUACCAGUUAUCGUGCCAACGGUAAACGCUGGGUAGCUAUGUAUGGAGUGGAUAACCGCUGAAAGCAUCUAAGUGGGAAGCCCACCUCAAGAUAAGUAUUCUCA
rnacentral:rRNA from 1 species